GAUGAACGCUGGCGGUAUGCUUAACACAUGCAAGUCGAACGCAGACUUUCGGGUCUGAGUGGCGGACGGGUGAGUAACGCGUGAGAAUCUGGCUUCAGGUUGGGGACAACCACGGGAAACGGUGGCUAAUACCCAAUGUGCCGACAAGGUGAAAGAUUAAUUGCCUGAAGAUGAGCUCGCGUCUGAUUAGCGAGUUGGUGGGGUAAGAGCUCACCAAGGCGACGAUCAGUAGCUGGUCUGAGCGGACGAUCAGCCACACUGGGACUGAGACACGGCCCAGACUCCUACGGGAGGCAGCAGUGGGGAAUUUUCCGCAAUGGGCGAAAGUCUGACGGAGCCAUAGCGCGUGAGGGAGGAAGGCUCUUGGGGUGUAAACCUCUUGUCUGAGGGAAGAAGGCAAUGACGGUACCGGAUGAAUCAGCAUCGGCUAACUCCGUG
rnacentral:rRNA from 1 species